GAUGAACGCUGGCGGCGUGCUUAACACAUGCAAGUCGAACGAAGCACUUAAGAUUGACUCUUCGGAUGACGUCUUUUGUGACUUAGUGGCGGACGGGUGAGUAACGCGUGGGUAACCUGCCUCACACAGGGGGAUAACAGUUAGAAAUGACUGCUAAUACCGCAUAACCCGAUAGGAUCGCAUGAUCCAGACGGAAAAGAUUUAUCGGUGUGAGAUGGACCCGCGUCUGAUUAGCUAGUUGGUGAGGUAACGGCCCACCAAGGCGACGAUCAGUAGCCGGCCUGAGAGGGUGAACGGCCACAUUGGGACUGAGACACGGCCCAA
rnacentral:rRNA from 1 species